AGUUCAAUCUACAAAGCACCAACAUCUCCUGGAUUCAACAUGCUCUCACUGCAUCAGGCUCUAUCUUCUCUACUGCUUCUCUCCACUCUAACAGGUGUCAGCUGUGAUGAACUGACUCCAGACCAGACUGCAGAGUUCAGUGUAGAAGGCAGCACUGUUACUCUGUCCUACAAUUUCUCCAGGACAAUAACUGGUAAUGAUUAUUUCUUCUGGUAUCGACAGAAUCCAGGACGAGCUCCAGAGUUCCUCCUUUACAUCUCAGGGUUGAAUGUGACAAGAAGGUCUGAUUCUCUGAAGUCAGAAACAAGGUUCUUCUCUCACCUGUCUGGAAUUGAUGUCAAACUGCAGAUCUCCUCUGCUGCAGUGACAGACUCUGCUGUGUACUACUGUGCUGUGAGGCCCACAGUGACAGGAAACUACACAACUCUGUACAAAAACCUGUGGACCAAACACACAACUCCUCAUCCUCCACUAGAGGGAGUCACUCACUAUUAA